UUUUCGGGAUCUUCACGAUCUGGUUCUCAACCAUGCUUCCAAGGGUGAUGGGUAUGGUUGGUGGACCAUUGUCAACAAGAAGUCCCGAAAGAGGGGGGAUCCGAACUACAUCACGGCGUACCCCUACCUUAGCUCUGACCACAAUUGGAAGACGGAGUGGUUGCUCGUCCGUGUGCCGACGGAUCCGAAGCAUCCCAACUUUUAUCGUCCUCCGAAGUGGUUCGUGGCUCCUGAUCCUGAUAUGAGGGGUGUGGCAGCUCCAGAUCGGAACCAUCGCCACUAUGUGGACCUCCUCCAGUGGUUCUUGGCUCAAGAGGAUAACCAUCGACUGCCGUCUAGCUGGCUCCCGAAUCUCAAUUACAUUUUGAGGGAGGACAUUCUUGCUGUUGCCGGUCUCAGCAGGAUUUUUGACAGGGGUAGGUGUCUUUCGGCUGAGACCGUUUUUUCAGUGAGUUUGUCCUCUUUCCUGUUUCGUUUUGCUGACAUGUUUUGUGCUUUGUUUUUGCAGAGUACGGCUUUAGCUGCAUUGAUCCUAAGAAGUUGGGCAUUUCUUUGGAUUUGAAGACUAUUCACGACCCGGCUCCCGAGUACAAGUUCGGAAAAGAUAACCCUCGUAAUCCUCGUCUGAAGGAUUACGUGUUGUCUCCUUCGGGGGUUGCUCGGAUAUCCGAAGUUCGAGCUGAUCCGUGGGAUUCCGCCUCUUCUGUUGAAGCUGUUCCUGUGAAGGUUGUGCUUCCUGAGUUGAAGACAACUUCGGACCCGGUGAGUGUUCAUUUAUAAGCUCGAUUUUCUGUUUAUCUUUUUCUUUUCGGUUGGCCGUCGGCUAACGUCUUGGUCCUGGACCAUCUUUUUAGGGUCCUGGGACUGACGCUGUGCCGCGUGCCGUUCCUUCGGUUUCAUCUCCGGCUCGGAUAGAUAUCACUUUAUCUAGGAACCGGGUAUUUCCCGCUUUUUUCUCUAUUUCUUCCUUUUUCUUCUUUUAUAUUCGUUGACCCUUGGUCUCCCCUUUUUAGGAUCAACGCAAAAGGAAGGGUAGCACUCUUUUGAGGCCGUCCACGCAUCCGAAGAAAGCGAAGGCUUCUCAGCCCUCGGAGAAGGAAGCGGUUUCGGAAGUCAUGCCUCCUCCUAAGAAUCUUCUUCACUUCAUGCCCUUGCCAGGGCAGAA